GACGAACGCUGGCGGCGUGCUUAACACAUGCAAGUCGAACGGAAAGGCCCUGCUUUUGUGGGGUGCUCGAGUGGCGAACGGGUGAGUAACACGUGAGUAACCUGCCCUUGACUUUGGGAUAACUUCAGGAAACUGGGGCUAAUACCGGAUAGGAGCUCCUGCUGCAUGGUGGGGGUUGGAAAGUUUCGGCGGUUGGGGAUGGACUCGCGGCUUAUCAGCUUGUUGGUGGGGUAGUGGCUUACCAAGGCUUUGACGGGUAGCCGGCCUGAGAGGGUGACCGGCCACAUUGGGCUUGGGAUACGACCCGGACUCCUCCGGGCGGCAGCGGUGGGAAUAUUGCACAAUGGGCGGAAGCCUGAUGCAGCAACGCCGCGUGCGGGAUGAUGGCCUUCGGGUUGUAAACCGCUUUCGCCUGUGACGAAGCGUGAGUGACGGUAAUGGGUAAAGAAGCACCGGCUAACUACGUG
rnacentral:rRNA from 1 species